rnacentral:rRNA from 1 species
AUGAACGCUGGCGGCGUGCCUAAUACCUGCCAGUCGAGCGAACAGACGAGGAGCUUGCUCCUCUGACGUUAGCGGCGGACGGGUGAGUAACACGUGGAUAACCUACCUAUAAGACUGGGAUAACUUCGGGAAACCGGAGCUAAUACCGGAUAAUAUAUUGAACCGCAUGGUUCAAUAGUGAAAGACGGUUUUGCUGUCACUUAUAGAUGGAUCCGCGCCGCAUUAGCUAGUUGGUAAGGUAACAGCUUACCAAGGCAACGAUGCGUAGCCGACCUGAGAGGGUGAUCGGCCACACUGGAACUGAGACACGGUCCAGACUCCUACGGGAGGCAGCAGUAGGGAAUCUUCCGCAAUGGGCGAAAGCCUGACGGAGCAACGCCGCGUGAGUGAUGAAGGUCAUCGGAUCGUAAAACGCUGUUAUUAGGGAAGAACAAAUGUGUAAGUAACUAUGCACGUCUUGACGGUACCUAAUCAGAAAGCCACGGCUAACUACGUG